rnacentral:rRNA from 1 species
UACAGAGGGUGCGAGCGUUAAUCGGAAUUACUGGGCGUAAAGCGUGCGUAGACGGUAGCGUAAGUCGGGUGUGAAAGCCCCGGGCUCAACCUGGGAAUUGCAUUCGAGACUGCUCUGCUAGGGUGCGGAAGAGGGAAGCGGAAUUUCCGGUGUAGCGGUGAAAUGCGUAGAUAUCGGAAGGAACACCAGUGGCGAAAGCGGCUUCCUGGUCCAGCACCGACGUUCAGGCACGAGAGCGUGGGGAGCAACAGG